GUGCCAGCCGCCGCGGUAAAACGUAGGAGGCGAGCGUUAUCCGGAUUUACUGGGCGUAAAGCGUACGCAGGCGGCUUCGUUAGUCGGAUGUUAAAGCUCCUGGCUUAACUGGGAGAGGCCAUUCGAUACUGCGGGGCUUGAGGUUGGGAGAGGGGUAUGGAAUUCCCGGUGUAGUGGUGGAAUGCGUAGAUAUCGGGAGGAACACCAGUGGCGAAGGCGGUACCCUGGCCCACACCUGACGCUGAGGUACGAAAGCGUGGGUAGCAAACAGGAUUAGAUACCCCUGUAGUCC
rnacentral:rRNA from 1 species